rnacentral:rRNA from 1 species
UACAGAGGUGGCAAGCGUUGUUCGGAAUUACUGGGCGUAAAGGGCGCGUAGGCGGCCUUUCAAGUCAGACGUGAAAUCCCCCGGCUUAACCUGGGAACUGCGUCUGAUACUGGGAGGCUCGAGUGUGGGAGAGGGAUGUAGAAUUCCAGGUGUAGCGGUGAAAUGCGUAGAUAUCUGGAGGAAUACCGGUGGCGAAGGCGGCAUCCGGGACCAUAACUGACGCUGAGGCGCGAAAGCUAGGGGAGCAAACGGG